CCGACUUGACUCGGCUCGGCUCUGUUUCGGAGUGACCGCGUUUCCACCGGCCCUUCUUGGCUCUGUAGCAGGGUACCGCCUCCUGGUGGGGGUAGGGGGGGUUGUAUCGCCCCGCCUACAGGCUCUGUGUGCUGUGCUUCGUUACAUGCGACCUAACACGAGUUGUUGCUUUUCUGAUACAAAAGAAGAGAGAGYUGAGCUAUUUUUACAGCCUGAUUGCUAUUUUUCUGAGAUGUCAAGAAAUGUGACAGUGGGAGGAAUGCUGCGAUGUGGUGAGGAGGAGCUGAUAUCCACCUUGCAGAGCCAGGAAAGYAGGUGGCUCAGACAGUUCAGAUGUCACCCACGUUCUACCCCUGGGAAGCAGCGAGGUCCAACCUGGGCGCACACCUGCAGCUCGUUUAGAGGGCGUGGAUCUUGGAUAUAAGGAGCAGCUCCGCUCCUUCUCAUCGCCUGAGUGUUUGCUUACCUUGAUGAUCCAGCUGUCUCCUCGUUGUUGUGGAUCACCUACCUCCUGUGUCUUCCCCCGUCGCUGCCGGUGUUACUGGUCAGACGCCACCCCUCGUGUGUUCAUCUUUCCCCCCUUCGUGGAUCCUUCUCCGGUGGAUUCCCCUUCGGAGCGUGCCCGGUCAGGAGCCCCAAGUCUGAACCUCACCGGAGAAAAGAUACAAGAACAGGAACCUACGCCGCUACUCCGGCCGUUAAUUAUCACUGUCCGCUCUCCAACGAGUCAUACUCACACAUCCCAAGCUGAUCACUCCACCCUUCUCAAUAAGACGACCUGGUCCUCCGCUCCAGUAUUCUUCCCCUCUCCAUUCUUCCCCCAACUUCAAUAAAUCAUAAUUGUACUCUCA